rnacentral:rRNA from 1 species
AUUAAAGUUGUUGCAGUUAAAAAGCUCGUAGUUGAACUUCACACCUGGCUGGGCGGUCUGCCUAACGGUAUGUACUGUCCGGCUGGGUCUUACCUCUUGGUGAGCCGGCAUGCCCUUCACUGGGUGUGUCGGGGAACCAGGACUUUUACCUUGAGAAAAUUAGAGUGUUCAAAGCAGGCUUAUGCCCGAAUACAUUAGCAUGGAAUAAUAAAAUAGGACGUGCGGUUCUAUUUUGUUGGUUUCUAGAGUCGCCGUAAUGAUUAAUAGGGAUAGUUGGGGGCAUUAGUAUUCCGUUGCUAGAGGUGAAAUUCUUGGAUUUACGGAAGACUAACUAUUGCGAAAGCAUUUGCCAAGGAUGUUUUCAUUAAUCAAGAACGAAGGUUAGGGGAUCGAAAACGAUCAGAUACCGUUGUAAUCUUAACAGUAAACUAUGCCGACUAGGGAUCGGGCGAACUCAAUUUGAUGUGUCGCU